UGAGGCCGCCGGCGGGCUGCGUAGUGACGCAGGCGCGAGACUGUGCGGUGGCAGCCAUGGCGGACGGCUGCGAUGAGGCUGCUCCUGGGUCUCGCGGCUAUCCAAGACCAUCGAGGGUCCCCGGCGGCGCCUGCCGUCUGCUGAGGCUGGGUGGACUCCUCUGCGGCAGAUCUCCUGUAAGAUGUGCUGGUUAAGGCUUCUGGCAGAUUCGGGUCAGUCCCAAGUGCGACCGGUCUUCUGGGGCUGCCGUCCGCAGACCCUUCUCGCAUCCACGUACCUGGCGGCCUCCCUCAUCGCGUGCUGUUGGUAGGGGGGCGAGUCAGGCCCUGUACACGUCCUGACAGGCACCCGGCCCACCCCCAGCCAACUGUGCGCUGUGUUCCUGCCCCAGCACGAGACCUGUGGGGUGUCCGCGGCAGAAGAUGUCAGAGCUGGAAGAGACCUGAGAGGCGAUCCCUUGGUGGGUGAUGGUUCUUCCGGGAAUCUGGUGGUUUGCGCGCCUUGUCGUCUGCUUCCAGAACAAGGAUCUUCGCUGUACGCCAAGACC
rnacentral:lncRNA from 1 species